rnacentral:rRNA from 1 species
CCCUUAGAUGUUCUGGGCCGCACGCGCGCUACACUGAUGCAUUCAACGAGUCUAAAACCUGGUCUGAGAGGGCUGGGUAAUCUUUUGAAAGUGCAUCGCGAUUGGGAUAGAUGAUUGCAAUUCUUCAUCUUCAACGAGGAAUGCCUAGUAAACGCAAGUCAUCAGCUUGCAUUGAUUACGUCCCUGCCCUUUGUACACACCGCCCGUCGCUCCUACCGAUUGAACGAUCCGAUGAAAACUGUGGAUUGAGAGUCUGAGUGGGUUCGCCUACCUCAACUUUCGAGAAGCGGUUUAAAUCUUAUCGUUUAGAGGAAGGAGAAGUCGUAACA